rnacentral:rRNA from 1 species
UACGUAGGGUGCAAGCGUUAAUCGGAAUUACUGGGCGUAAAGUGUGCGCAGGCGGCCGCGCAAGUCGAGUGUGAAAGCCCCGAGCUUAACUUGGGAAUUGCGCUCGAAACUACGUGGCUGGAGUGUGGCAGAGGAAGGUGGAAUUCCCAGUGUAGCGGUGAAAUGCGUAGAUAUUGGGAGGAACACCAGUGGCGAAGGCGGCUCACUGGACCGGAACUGACGCUGAGGCGCGAAAGCGUGGGGAGCAAACGGG